GUAGAACAUCAAAAAGAAGAGAUGCAGCACUAUGGAUGGCAGUCUCUUGGCGUUGCUAUUCAAACCCUUAGCUUUUUCUUGAGUAAUGCUUUUUAACCUUGUUACUAAAAUAUUUCUCUCCAUACCUUUGUUUUGCAACAGGUUAUACUCGGCAACAGGCCUUCAAAGUGGUUAUCUCAUCCCAGGUGCCGAUCUACAUAGAUAACAAUCCAUCUGAAGGCAGUACUGCACACAACACAACAUCACACGGGUGUAACAAUCCAAAAUGUAUACAGGAAUUUGAAGUGUAUUGUGUGUAUAUACAGUGCAGUAGCCUGUGUAGAAGCAGUGAUAGAGUCAGUACAUGCCCCAGUGUGAACUGGGUGUGAGCGAAAGCACACCCACUUAUCAGAUUCCACUGUCACAAGUGUGACUUUGUCUUCAGUACAGAAGCACCAGAAAAACAAAAAUCAAGACAUUUACAUUAUAUUUUAAUGUUAUUAUGACAUUAGAUUUGACUGUAUUGAUCCCACUGUGUGGAUAUUCACUGGUUACAUCAGUGUGACAAAUAUAAAACAGUGAGAGAAUAAGUAGGACUGCCUGCAACAAUUGUGCGAUUAAUCGAUUACUAAAUUAAUAAACUAUUUUAAUAAUUGUUUUGAUUUUUUUAAAGGUUUCUUUGCUCCAUGUAUCAAAGAAAUCAGUAAAACUUAAUAAACAAGGCGUUUGAGAACGUCAUCAUUUGGUAAAGGUUUGGUAAACACCGAUCGACUUUUUCUUACAUGUUCUAUACAUUUUAAGGACUUAACAAGUACUUGAAAAUAAUCCAUUAGUUGCAGCCCUAAGAUUAAGUAAUAAAGAUGAGGCAAAGAUAGUGACAUAGACAUAUAGAUACAAAAUAUUCAGUAAGAGGAAUAUGAAAAUACAUGGAAUAGAAAUUGAAUUGGAAAAAUAUAAGACACUUGCAUAAUAAACAAGAAUUAACACAAACUACAAAUGAUCCUGAUAAACGAUCAUGUGGACAGAAAAAGACAUUUGAGAAACAUUGUCAUUUCAACAAUUGGGAAGUUAGUGAUCGACAUUUUCUGGCCCAAACGACUAAUCGUUCAUGAAAACAAUGAUUAAGUGCAGCCCUAUAGAUGCUGACACACGUGUGUUUUACAGUGAGUGUGUGUGUGUGUGUGUGUGUGUGUGUGUGCACUGAUAAAUAAAACACACACACUCUCACUGACUUUUCCUCUGUGUGGAAGGAGAAACACAGUAGCUGCUCUGCACGUACAGUUCAUUUCCCUCCACAACUGUACACAGCACUUCUCUCUCUCUCUCUCUCUCUCUCUCUCUCUCUCUCUCUCUCUCUCUCUCUCUCUCAUGUUAGGUCGAGAGUUGGCCGUCUGCCAGAGGAGGCCGGUCUUUGCCGUGCAGCUGAAACUUUUACAAGCCGAGCAGGAAGAGAACGCACGGGGAAGCCAUCGAAAAAUGGAGGGGAAAAAAAGAAGAAGAAAAAGUCGUGUGCAGGCGACGGGUGCUCGGGGUCAGCGGCGCGGAGUGUCUCGCUUGUGUGAGAAAUGAAAGCUGGGAAAGAUGCCAAGAAAGGGACGUACAUAAAAAAUAUGCUCCCUCCUCUUCUUCUUUUUCUUCAUCUCCAUUCAUUGAUUCCUUUAGAUGACCACUCCCACUGACGAGGGCCGGUAUUUUUGUUCCCCGACGAUUGGAGAAGGACAAGGACGGGAAAAGACAAAUGGUGCCAAAGUGGGCAGGCGGACCGAGGCAAACACGGCACAGGGCAGAGCAGAGGGCGCUACACAGGCUGGCCAACUGUGUGUGUCUGUGUGUGUGUGUGUGUGUGUGUGUCUGUGUGUGUGUGUGCGCGUGUGCGUUUGGACCUGACUGCUUUGAUCAUAUACGCAACUCUGCGUGUGUGUGUGUGUUUGACACUGUGGUGUAUCAGUGUGUGUGUGUGUGAGCAGACGUCCCUCUGUCACCCUGUGUACGGACAGACGCCAGUAGGAGGGGAUUGUGGGAAAGGGGUGUAGCUCUGUGAGGGUGUGCUGCGCUCCUCUCUUUUUCCCUCUUCCCGCCAUCGCGGCCCUCUUCUCCUCCGGUCGUCCUGCCCGGCCCGCCGCUCUCACGCUCAGGCUCCAGAUGCCACGCCGCAGUCCGCUCGCCGCCAUUUUGACUCGAUGGUCGUAGCGAGAGAAACUUUUCUCGAGCCCAGAGAGACUCCUCGACUCCUUGCUGACCAUCAUCUUCCUCCCUCCCUCCCUCCCUCCCUCCCUCCGUCUGUCUCUCUGUGUCCUCCCCUGACCUCUGCUCUCCUUCCUCUCCAGCAGCGGGGUCUAACAGGGCAGUAAGCGCCGCGUCUGUCGGUGGCGUCCUGCGCCCAAACAGGUGUCUGUGGGCCUUACUUUUCUGACCUGAGAGUGAGUGAGUGAGUGAGUGAGUGAAUGAAUGAGUGAGUGUUGGCUCCAGGUGAGUGUGAGCUCAGCUGCUGCUGAAAUGCUGCACCCACUCAGGACGUGUGUCUUAUCAGCCCGUGGCGGUUACGUCGGGUGAAUUUACUCUCCCAGCUUUUAGACGCCAUUUCCCGCCGCCAUCGCGACUCUGUAGAUAUACAGUCGUUGUCAGGUUGGUGUGUGUGCGUCUGUAUGUGUGUGCGUCUGUAUGUGUGAUCUCAAGGUGUGACAGUUUGUCCCGACUCUGCGUCACAUACAGGCCGCUGUUAUGUAUAUGACACCCAACACUUGACAUGAAACCGAUCCAGCAUCAGGAAAGAAAAGAGCAGAAAAUGCAGCUUCAAUGUUGUUUUAUUUUGAAAAUCCAUUACUUUAAUCGAGCUUUGACAAAACAAAGGAAAUGUGUUCUUUUUUAAUGUCGCGCUGUGAAUUUUGAUUAGGACAAUGACGAAAUAUGAAAUAUCACGUGAAGUGGUCAUUUGUGCCAAUUUAAAUGGUAUUGUGUAGCCAGAGGUGUGUCUCGAUGUGAACAGAGGUCGAUGGUAAGAUGGCGUCCUCGUGCCACGUGUUUGAAGAAAUAGACCCUUCACCCCGUCACAAUUUGUGGGCAAACUACAGUCACUUCAUCUGUGUCAGCCUCCCCUCACUGUGUGCUGCGGCGUGAAGUGACAACUAUGUAUUUAUAAGAAAAUAAAACAGACAAACAGAAAAAAGCCUUUUGAAACACAUCAACAUGUGACGAGAGGAAAGUGUUGAGAAAGAAAAGAAGACGCUGCAGAGACACAGAGAAAACAAGGGUUUAGUUAGUUAAAGAGGCAGGCAGACAGACAGACAGAGAGACAGACAGACAGAGAGAGAGAAGCAGGAGUGGAAGAGUGCUGUGUCCCCGCCCCCUCUCUUAUCCUCAGAUGAACUUAUCAUGUUGCCUCAUAAUGUUUCUGAGUUGUUUUUUUCCCCCUCGUAGAGUCACUCGGGCUCACUUCCUGUAUUCAGCCUCCACGGAGCUGAUUGGCUGAUGUCUUUGCUUGACCGGCCACAGUUUGCAGCGCGGCAACAGGAAGUUUCUCUCCUCUCGUGCAGGAAGCUGCAGCUGUUUUAGGCCCCGACACUCACCACUGUGCGCUCUCGCACGCAUACACUCUUCUCCUUUGUGUGUGUGUGUAUACAGUGUGUGUACGUGUGUAUGUGUGUGGCAUCAGUGACGGCUAUAACAUGUGGGCGUGUUGUGACACGCCAGGCCUGGCAUCUGAGCUAUCAGAAAACGUUUGAAACCAUGGUAACGACACAUCACAUCAGCACUUUAGUGGCAGCAGGAAUAUCAGGAGUUUUUAACCUCGACUUAACAUUUCAUAUCUAAUCUAUACAUAUGUUUUAUGUGGUGACAUUAACAGUGAAAACCCCACUGUUGACUUAGACGUAUUAAACACAUGUCUGAGCUAUUAUAAGAAGAUUAACUCUUCUUCACUAUUAAAUAGAAUUUUCCACCCUAGAAACUGAAGUUUGGGUCACUUUGUCCAAACAUUAUUUUACAUCCCAGCAACACAGGAGUUGUUGAUCCACUACUGCCUCUGUGAGUGACUUCAAAUGUGUUAUUUAGUGAAUUCGGGGUUUGAUGCAAACCUCCCACACGAGGCAGCAGUAGACCGGGAGCUCCUGUUUUCCUCAGAGCUAAAAUCACAGAUUUUCCCUAUGGACUUUGGUGCAGGGAAGGAAUAAGCGGUUUAUAAAGGGACACAAAUGUUACUUUCUGGUUGUAAGUGUCUGUCUAACAGUGAGAUAAAGCAGCAAACGUAUCCAUAUUGAUUUAAUUAGGUCAUUCUUUUGUUCUGUCCACACAAUUAAUACAUUUUUUAAGCAAUUUUGAUAAACGUUUUUGGUGCAUUUUGAGGUUUCCAGUAUUUUUCAGCCUCUUAAUUGACAAUAUGAUGUGAUUUAUGUGCUCCUCUAUGACAAGAAACCAGUUCUUUUGGAUGCAUGUACUGAACAACUAAUAUGUCUGGAUUGAACUAAGCCUUUAAGUUUGAAUCUAAUCGUGAUGACUUCACUUUGCUGCGCUCUUUUGUGUCUCAGUGUUCGAAAACGAUUGUCAGACACCGUGACCGUCGACACAAUGGCUCCCUUAUGCUCCUGCCUUAUCUGGGUCAUACUAUGGUUUCAUCAGACAUGUUGCCUGGCGUGUUUAUCUUACCUUUCAUGCUGAGUCUAACACCAUAGUGUGUGUUUGUGUAUGUGUGUGUGAAGCAAACGGCAGGACGAGCGUUCCUUUAAUUACCAUUUCAUAAACGAGGAUGAGUGGCUGAGCCUCUUUCAUGUUGUGCUGUGAGCACAUGCAUAUGGUAGCGGCGUAUCGGUGAACAUGUGACACGUGACGUUCUGCAUCUGCUUAUAAUGAGGAUGUGCAGAAACAUCAGAGCGGGCGCUGAGCAAAGGAAGCUCAGCGAUCCUGUCCUCAAGGUUUCUAAAACAAGGUUUUAGAACAAUAAUAAUAACGAUAAUAGUAAUGAUGUUUCUCGUGUAUUUGCCCCAUGCCUGGACACAGUUUGUCUCUGGGGACAUGAGUUUGACAAGACAUCCGCUUGUAUUUUUUUUUAAAACUGUGGGAAUUCUUCAUCCUGCCGUUUAUUGUGUGGCAUACUUCCUCUGCCAACUCCAGCUCCCCCUCCUUUUCACCCAGCGUCACCACCUCCUUCCUCCCUCAUUGAAAUUCUGCCUGGCACACAGUCUCUGCCCAUUCUUGGCACAAAGCUCAGAGUGUGAGGCACACACACACACACACACAUAAGAACCUGUACCAGUCGUCUGUGCCAAGCAUUCAUCCCGUCGUGGACCGAGCGACCGGGCAAUCCGAUAGGUAUUUCCCCCCCGCCUCUGUUUCUCCUGCGAAAAUCUGCUCCAGUUCGGAGGAGUUUCAUUGGCAUCCGCGUGAGUGUGUGUGUGUGUGUGUGUGUGUGUUUGGGGAUUUGCUAAUUAAUUUGCGUGUUUAUGUCGUUUGUGUCGCAUGAGGAGUAAAUCCAAUGAAUCCCACACUGAGCCACAGAGGAGGAGGUGAAGCUGAGGCCGAUUGUUGUGACAGUGUUAAGCAAAAGAAAUGUUUCUGCAUUUAUUUGUUUAUCGUCUAAGGCCGAUAUCCAUAUUACACUGACAAGAGUUUGGUGAAUUUUCCAUUUAAAGGAGAUUUAACUCCACAAAUCAAGCAAGAUUUCCUUUAAAAAACAUCGUCGUAUUUCACUUUUUCACCAAAAGGCCACGGCCGUUUCUCCCGAUGAGAGUGGAGAACGGUCCAGCUCUGAUGUUUGGGCGUUUGCCAGUACAAUUUGGCUUCAUAAAAUUAAUGUUUGGUUGGAGAGAAAAGGAGACAGAACUCAGAACUCCUGCUCCUUUUCGAUCACUCUGUGAUGUUUGAAUGUGCUAAAAUACUCAAAAUAGUAAAUCUGUACUAUAGCUGCUAGCUGCUACCAUAGCUGUUACAGUUAGCCAGUUAGCCAUUAAGUGCCAAAUACUGAUGCCACAAUGUCUGGCUAGCAGCUAACAGCUUUUUCUCCUUCCAUUCGUUUCCAGCAGGCUGUACACUAGCAGCUAAUAGUAUCUGGCUAUUGUAGCUUUUAAUGUCAAAUGUUGGUAGCAUCUGGCUACAGUAGCUGCUAUUGUCAAAUGCAAGUAGAUUCUGGCAAGAAAACUGCUAAUGUCAAACGUUGGUAGUGUGUGGCUACAGUAGUUGCUAAUGUCAAAAUGCUAGUAGCGUCUGGCUACAGUAGCUGCUAAUGUCAAAAUGCUAGUAGUGUCUGGCUACA